rnacentral:rRNA from 1 species
CUAACACAUGCAAGUCGAACGAACCUUCGUUGAAGGCAAAUAGCUUGCUAGGAUCCUUCGAUAGAAGGUUAGUGGCGAACGGGUGAGUAAUACGUGGGUGACCUGCCCUGAAGAGAGGGAUAACCACUGGAAACGGUGGCUAAUACCUCAUGUGGUCGCAAGAAUUAGAGGUCUUGUGAGUAAAGCUCCGGCGCUUUGGGAGGGGCCCAUGGCCUACCAGCUAGUUGGUGGGGUAACGGCCUACCAAGGCUAUGACGGGUAGCUGGUAUGAGAGGACGAUCAGCCACACUGGCACUGAGACACGGGCCAGACUCCUACGGGAGGCAGCAGUGAGGAAUAUUGCCCAAUGGACGAAAGUAUGAGGCAGCAACGCCGCGUGAGCGAUGAAGGCCUUCGGGUUGUAAAGCUAUUUUAUGGGGGAAGAGGAAGGACGGGACCCCAGGAAUAAGCCUCGGCUAACGACGUGCCAGCAGCCGCGGUAAU